GGAGAGGUGGCUUAAUUGGUAAAGCACUCCUCUGCUAAAGGAGCAUGGUUAAUACCCAUUGCAGGUUCAAAUCCUGUCCUCUCCGCCA
rnacentral:tRNA from 4 species